UACGUAGGGUGCGAGCGUUAAUCGGAAUUACUGGGCGUAAAGGGCUCGUAGGCGGCCAACUAAGUCGGAUGUGAAAUCCCCGGGCUCAACCCGGGAACUGCGUCCGAUACUGGCAGGCUUGAAUCCGGGAGAGGGAUGCGGAAUUCCAGGUGUAGCGGUGAAAUGCGUAGAUAUCUGGAGGAACACCGGUGGCGAAGGCGGCAUCCUGGACCGGCAUUGACGCUGAGGCGCGAAAGCCAGGGGAGCAAACGGG
rnacentral:rRNA from 1 species